rnacentral:piRNA from 1 species
UGAGGCAGUACGUUGUGCCACACAAUGUGUUU